CCUACGGGAGACAGCAGUGGGGGAUAUUGGACAAUGGGGGGAACCCUGAUCCAGCGACGCCGCGUGAGUGAAGAAGUAUUUCGGUAUGUAAAGCUCUUUCAGCAGGGAAGAAAGCAAUGACGGUACCUGACCAAUAAGCCCCGGCUAACUACGUGCCAUCAGCCGCGGUAAUACGUAGGGGGCAAGCGUGAUCCGGAAUUACUGGGUGUAAAGGGAGCGUGGACGGCUGUGCAGUGCUGGAGUGAAAGGCGGGGGCCCAACCGCCGUACUGCUCUGGAAACUGGAUGGCUGGAGUGCAGGAGAGGUAAGCGGAAUUCCUAGUGUAGCGGUGAAAUGCGUAGAUAUCAGGAGGAACACCAGUGGCGAAGGCGGCUUACUGGAUUGUAACUGACGUUGAGGCUCGAAAGCGUGGGGAGCAAACAGGAUUAGAUACCCUAGUAGUC
rnacentral:rRNA from 1 species